UAUGUUCUCGACUGUACUACGCCUUAUAUGCGCUUCUACUACGAUCAUGAAUAUCUCUCUACGAUGCUUCAGCGCUGUUUGUACAAUACCGGCGAUUCUUCUACGCUCUUUUUACAACUUUACCCCGAUAUUUGCUGGCUACUUCCCCGCUAGCUUGUCUGAACAUGCUCAAAAUAAGUUGUGCGAGGUCGUAGAGUUCCGGACCAUGAAGACCUUACCUCGACAUACUUCUGAAGACUCUACUACGUUUCUUCCAUUUGUCAGGAUCGGACACGUUUUCGGCAACUCUUUUAGCGUAGAAGAAACAGCAGUCAAUGUGUGAACGGGGGUAAUCAACCCUAUUUAGACGACAUCAAACGCAAAAGUAUUUUUUUAGAUUUCAAGCUUCCCCUGGCAUAUCAAAAUUUUACAAAGAAACGGAAUGAAUUUCUGCCACAAAGUAAAGCUAUUUCACUUGGAAUAUUUUAGUUAAUAAAUAAUUUAUUUUACUACGAUUUUAUAGGAAACUAAAUCCUUAUAAACACCCCCUCUAAAUCGUUCAUGAAACAAAUCAGUACUGAACAUUGAGUAUUAAGUUAGUUGCUCAAGGAAACAAUGACAUGGAUUAAACUGAAUUUUGAAAUCACGCGGCUAGCGAGUGCGACUCAUUAAAUACACGGUCAUUCCGCCACUAUUAUAGAACGUUGGAGUAACUAUUUGCAUUUGCACAACCUACUACCGCUUCUAAAUGAAUCGUCGACCUUGAUAAUGAAUUUGUUUACGUUUCUUUAAAUUGGACGUGACUUACACAAUGUGAAGGCCAAGGAAAGAUAAUAUAUUAUUGAAGAGGUCGAACAAUACGGACUCAUAAACAAGUACACCUGUUUUAAAUCAUGAAAGGCAAAAUAUAUCUGCUGUUGUGUGGAACUACAACAAUUUUUCAUCUGAUUUCGGCAUUUCUACUUGACCAACAACCAUGCGAAAAACUUCCAGAAUACCUAAGUGAGUUUCCAUUUUCAUAAUA